GACGAACGCUGGCGGCGUGCUUAACACAUGCAAGUCGAACGAAGCGCGAUGGAAGCUUGCUUCUAUCAAUCUUAGUGGCGAACGGGUGAGUAACGCGUAAUCCAACUGCCCUUCAGAGGGGGACACCAGUUGGAAACGACUGCUAAUACCGCAUACGAUCUAAUCUCGGCAUCGAGGAUAGAUGAAAGGUGUCCUCUACAUGUAAGCUAUCACUGCAGGAGGGGAUUGCGUCUGUUUAGUGAGUUGUAGGAGUGACGGCCCACCAAGGCUAGGCGCGGUAGCCGGUCCGAGAGGAUGGACACCCAAGUUGGGACAGAGACACGGCCCAGACUCCUACGGGAGACAGCAGGGGGGAAUCUUCCGCAAUGGACGAAAGUCUGACGAAGCAACGCCGCGUGAGUGAUGACGGCCUUCGGGUUGUAAAGCUCUGUUAGUCGGGACGAAAGGCCUUCUUGCGAAUAGUUAGAAGGAUUGACGGUACCGGAAUAGAAAGCCACGGCUAACUACGUG
rnacentral:rRNA from 1 species